GAUGAACGCUGGCGGCAUGUUUAACACAUGCAAGUCGGACGGGAAGUGGUGUUUCCUGUGGCGGACGGGUGAGUAACGCGUAAGAACCUGCCCUUGGGAGGGGAACAACAACUGGAAACGGUUGCUAAUACCCCGUAGGCUGAGCAGCAAAAGGAGGACUCCGCCCGAGGAGGGGCUUGCGUCUGAUUAGCUAGUUGGUGAGGUAAUAGCUUACCAAGGCGGUGAUCAGUAGCUGGUCCGAGCGGAUGAUCAGCCAGACUGGGACUGAGGCACGGCACAGACUCGGACGGGAGGCGUGAGUAGGGAAUUUUCCGCAAUGGGCGAAAGACGGACGGAGCAAUGCCGCGUGGAGGUGGAGGGCCCACGGGUCGUGAACUUCUUUUCUCGGGGAAGAAGCGAGGACGGAAUCGGAGGAAUAGGCAUCGGCAAACUCUGG
rnacentral:rRNA from 1 species